UGGGGAAUAUUGGACAAUGGGCGAAAGCCUGAUCCAGCAAUACCGCGUGUGUGAAGAAGGCCUUCGGGUUGUAAAGCACUUUAAGUUGGGAAGAAAAAACUUUACCUAAUACGUGAAGUCUUGACGGUACCGACAGAAUAAGCACCGGCUAACUCUGUGCCAGCAGCCGCGGUAAUACAGAGGGUGCUAGCGUUAAUCGGAUUUACUGGGCGUAAAGCGUGCGUAGGUGGUUGUAUAAGUCGGUUGUGAAAGCCCCGGGCUCAACCUGGGAAGUGCGGCCGAUACUGUCAGACUCGAAAACGGUAGAGGGAGGUGGAACUCCAGGUGUAGCGGUGAAAUGCGUAGAUAUCUGGAAGAACAUCGAUGGCGAAGGCAGCCUCCUGGGCCUGUUUUGACACUGAGGCACGAAAGCGUGGGUAGCAAACA
rnacentral:rRNA from 1 species